UGCAAUGGAAAAAGCACAAGGUUCUGAGUAAUUCCAAUUGUUUAAAUCUAGAGUGGAAGCUCAAGUGUCAUAAUUGCUAUGAAUUUAAUUUCCUGGAACCGAAACCGUAAGUUUAUCAUGAAAACUUUUCGCAAAUUCCCUGGUCAACUGCAGUCCCGCCCCACAAGGACUUGAAGUGUUUCUUGAUUUGUUUUGCAAAUGUAAUUUGCUUCGACUUAAGAUGCAGUUUACCCGCCAGGACCAGGACCAGGCCCAGGCCCAGGCCUAUGCGGAAAAUGCGGGUGAAAAGAACUUGUAACUCGGUUGCAAUUUAUGCUACAAUUUUCAUAUUCAUGCAACUAGCAACUACAACAAGGACAACCACUUCAAGUGUCUGGCUCUGGCGAAAAUUGCCAUAAAAAACUUUGGCCGUCUCAAUGGCAAAAGUCGUCAACAUCCACCGUUGUCGUCGUCGGCGCUGGCGCUGUCGUCGUUCCCCUCCUUUAUGGCACAGACGCCUUUCAGACUGUGGGGCUCUGCUGGUCUGGUCUGGUCUGGUCUGGGAUUUAAGGUGUUGACUUUCCUCCGUUAGCCUGGGCCACAAUUUGUCAGCAAGUUUUCCUAACAACUAAAUUCUAUGCUCGGUUUGAGUGCAAUUGCAUCUCCCCCACCCCACCUCGUGGCCUGCUGCUGCAUGCAAAUUAUGCAAAUUUGACUUUCAACGAAAGCCCCUUUCGCUUUCUAACUGACUGGCUGCAAGGUCAACAUAUUUAUGCCCUUUCAACCUCCUCCUUCUCCUUCUCGCCUCCUACUCAACCUCAAUCCCAAACCACUCACCCAUUUUAUUUUGUAUGCAACGAAAUACAGCCCCCCUCCCGGGGCACCGAGACAGCAAUUAAAAUGCUUUAGAAUUUAGUUCGCUGUCAGUCAAAGAUUGAGUCACUUGUCGACGGCAUCGUCAUCGUCGCAGUCGCUGGUCUUGUUUGGCAGCUGCUGGUUGACUGCCUGAUGGAUGUCAUUAGAUGGUAGCCACCAAUGAGCCACUUCUAUUCAGAACUUCUUAACACAGGCAAGGCUUUGUAGGCAAACUGCUUUGCGGCUUAGAGACGGUACAAACAAGGUUGUAUAGGCAUGGUGAAAUGCUGCACAAGGAUCACAAAUCACUUGAACAGGUCUCUUUCUCAUGUCUUAUACACACGCAUCGGCGUUUAACAGAGGGAACUGUUGAACGGGUCGUAACAUGGAGUAUAAGACUGUUAUUGAACUAUGCCCAGCAGAAGAGGAGCGAGAGACCGUUUUAUAAGAGAUAUAUUCGAAUGUUUCUAUUAAAGUUAAGGGAUAUGUUUGUUACAGGUCCCAGAGGCCACUUUCCCCAAGUAGCUCUAAUUAGUGAUUAGCGAAUAUCUUUACUAAGACUUGGCCUUAAACAUUUAUGUUAGAAUUGGCGUCUCCUUGGGGUAUCAACUAUUCAGUCACCAUCAAUCAAAACAUCUUCUCAAUGGCUUAUGGUGCCAUCUUAUUUUCUGCAUAAUUUGCAAUCUUUGUAAGCAAACGAAUGAGUUCCAUUCUUAAUGACCUUGUUUUUUCGCUGCGCCACAUGCUUGGCUAAUUAAUUAUGCAGCAGUUUUGGGGGAGUGGGGGGGAACCAAAUGGUUAUCUAGUCUCUGCUAGAAUUCUAUUUAAUUUAUUGCAUUUAAUUGGAAUGCAUUUUGUAUGAGUUUCGAACCAUCUGUCCGCUCCGUUGGCUGUUUUAGAUUAUAAAGUUUUCGACACUGCUGUUUUAGCUAUUGAAUUAUUCACCAUCUGGUUCGUUGGCAUACACUUCUCAGGAAUUUUAAAUCUAAAUCUUUACACUAUCUUUAAUUGUUCGAUAAAUUGCUGGAUUAAAAAAUACUAAUAAUUUUUAGCUAGAACAUUUUCAUAGAAAUACCUCAGCAAUUCCAAACACUUUCCCGGAACCAUUUCCUGCUUAUUAAGCAGAAAUGAUUAAAUACGAAAAGAAAACUCAUUCAUUAAAUUCAAAUGAAAAACUACUCCUUGGUUUUUUAGUCUUCAUCUUAAGCGCUUCUUGGCUCAUUGUAAAUCAGUCGUUUAGCUUUUCUCGAGAAAAUCGUUGAUUACUUUUCCAUGAGUUCCUUUUCAUUUGCUUAACUCUUUGUGCAGAGCAUGGCAGCUUCUCCAUCCUGCUUCCGACAUCCUCGAAGAGCUUUCCGCCCAAUGCAUUUCUUAAUAAAUCCCCCAAUCCUUCGAAGACCUGGUUUCCUUUCUACCUUUACUUUCCUCCUUCAUUAAUACCAUCUACUUUUUUUCUUCUUCGCUUGCCUUUUUGUAAAUUUUAUUCUCUCAAUCAAUGGGAAAAUUCGAUCAAUCGUCAAAUUUAUCUACGAUUUGCACACUGCGGCAUCAAAUGGAAAUUUCCCUUUGAAGUGAUGUUGAUGUUUUACGACAACUUAAAAUAUCGGGAAUUUGGUCAUAAGGCUAUGAAUUUCCCACGGCUUGGGACUGUUAUACCCAUAACUAAUCACUCAUUGGCAAUAACUACCUUAAGGUGACACUGAAUAGGGCUACGGGCUGUGACCCAUCUGCAAUCACUCCCAAAGGUUAACCCCACCAUUCGGCGUCAAUUAAAUUACUCCUGACAUGUCCAGCUUACUUGUUCGUAAGCCAACUGAUGACUUUCCACUGGCGUUUCAGCCGUUCGUAGCUGGCUGACAGGUGAUUAAACCAGGCUCAGAGCCCCACCGCCCCACUGCUCCACCGCCCAAUCGACGAAAACGACGCCGGCCCCGGGCAUCACAUCACUCAAAAUCGCAGUUGCAAAAUGCAGCAAAUGAAAACAAAGCAAAGGCACGUAAAUGGCUUAAUAAUUCUGUCAGUUUCCAGUCUGCUCCCGGCUGUCCCAAAAUAGCUCCCACAUGGAACCAUGGCAGAGACCUGCCAACACGGCAUUAAAACGGUUGACGUUUUACUUUUAUUUAUUUUUUUUGCGUAAUUUCAUAAUUUAUGCAUAAUAAAAUGAGACCUGUGGUGUGGUGUGCUGGUAUGGCUGUGUGGGAUGUGGGAUGUGGAAAGGACUUCCAAGUCCACCCGCCUGUGCUGGUUGUGCUGCUCCUACCAUAUUGCUACGCCGUCCUCAUGGCAGUCCCGGAAGUAGUCUGCCCUUAGCCCCGCCCCCAACUGCCGCCCAGUGUUGGCUGGCAUCCAACUGACAUUUUUCAUAAAUGCUAUAAGGAGGGGGCACAUAUAUUUUUCUUGAAUUUUUUCCUUUGCUCCUCACUCCCUCUGUUAGUGUCCCGUUUUGCUUUUUACUAAUUUAACAUUUCAGCGUCCAAUUAACAUUUUAAGCCAAAAAGCUUUGGGGAGUUCUGUUCUACACAAGGGAAGUAUAAGCGAGGGGUCGGAAGACAGACAGACGGUGACGGAGAGAGAGGGAGACGCAGAGAGUCCCUCUCUGUGUGUGUGCUGAAAGAGAAAAAAAUGUUGAUUAUGAAAUUUUUGUAUUCCCUGAAUAUAGUUAAGGUAUAGAAAUUUCAGUGACUGGAGGAGAGACGGCGGGCAGUCGAUUGGAAUUUCAUUUGUUUGGGAUUUUAUUAAAUUUUUUUUGGGAAUUUAAUCUCUAUGAGAUUUAAAAUUCCACUGUGUUUAUUUAAUAAUUUUGUAGAUACAAUUUACGAUGAAAUUUUAAUAGAAAGUCAGAGCGGCGCGACAAAGGUUAUACUCUUUAAGUGAGACAACAAGUAGAACAACAAAAAGUAUAUUUUAAACACGCUUUUAUUCCGAGAGAAUGAAGUAGGAAUAGAAAUAGGACUUCGGUAGAUCGACGGUAGAAUACGGUGAAAUAUUUUAGUACAGACAACACUAUACAUUUUCGACUUUUAUAUUGGAGCAGAUCAGUUCCACCAUAGUCACAAAUACCCAACUUAAUUCUUUUGAGGCCUUUUAUGGUAGGUUUUCAUUGGUUUUGCCGCGUUGAAAUUUGCAAUCACAUUCAUACAUAGGUACAUAUGUAUGUGUUUGGAGUCCACAGGUGCUCGUGCAAAGAUUUGUAUGGAUUGCCCGUGCGUCGAGGGAAUAUGAUUCCCUUCCAAUUUCUUCAGAAGUAAACGUUUGUCGAUAAGCGGAGUGUAUGGCGUAGCGGCUGCUGUCUACAAAGUUUUACAAGCUUCGCUCUUGCUCUAUUCUUCAUUCUAUUGUUCUCUCAACAACAACAACAACAACGCGCUGAGACGACUGCAUCUCACAACGGAACAAACGAACGGGUGUCUACAUUGAGAGAGGAAGUCGUGCAGAAACGAAGGCCGAUCUGCGAACCGAGCUUUGACUGGCCUACGCUGCUCUGCUGCCCCCCUCUCCCAUGACGUGACACACCGAACACACAAGCUUUCGCUUCGCCCAUGCUGCUGCAUUCUUUUCACAGCUUCGACUACUCUUCGAUCUUAUCGCCACUGUUAUUUCCCCCCGGUUUCUCAUUCAAAGCGGUAGUUUAAAGCGGUCGUUCAAAUCGGUCUUUUAAAGCGUUCGUUUAAAUCGUAUUUCUAGUAAAAGUGCGCGUGCGCGCCCUGCAACUAACGUGAAAAGUUCCCAAAUGAUUUUUUUCCUACGAAAAUAUAAUUAAAAUCAAUUAUUCCUCAUUUUCGCUAGGCCACAAGGUCUUAAGGUGUGUGCGUCGUGUGUGAUAAAAAAUUUUUUAAAUUUUUGUUUUUGUUUAUGUGUUUUUGUGGAAAACAACAUUAUAAAGAAAUGCAACGCAAAAAAAUAGAAAAUUAUAUUCAAAGAUACAGAACUAAAAAGCAGCUACAUACACGUCCCAAAAGUAGACAGAAGAUAAUAUUAA